UUCUUCCUUUUGGGUCCUGUUUGUCACAUAUUCCUUCUUACCUUCUUUUCACUCACCUCAACACUUUCUUCCUUCCUCCUCAAUUGUCUUUACCUUUCCACAACUUUCAAGAAUUGUGGAACAUGACCUUUACCCAAUUAAGACAUAAAAAGUAGCCUCCAAACUGCCAUAAAAACAAUUUUGGGUCACUUGAUUAUUAAAAUAUUAGCUAUUAAAAUAGCAAGAAGGCCUCUUACUUGUUACAUUGAAUAUUGUGAAAACAUCUAAAUUCAAAUUCUGCUUUAGUCUAUUUAUAGACAGGGAGGGAGAGAGGAGAGAGAAGGAGGGAGGAAAUAGGAAGGAAGGAAGGAACAAAGGAAGGAGGGAGGGAGGGAGGAAGGGAGGAAGGGAGGGAGGGAGAGAUCUUUGUGAUUUUGUUUGAAAAGUCUCCUGGUUCUGUUAGGUUACAUCCUUCAAGCCCAUCACUUUGGAAUAUAUUUGCCCAUUUUGACACUCUCCCUGGCCAAACACUCACACCAGUGGCUUCACUGUAAUUACUGAAUCUGCAGGUCAUUAGGGACUCCCGUUAAAACUUACUACAAUGUCUACAGUUGCCACAUGUGUAAUUUAAGAGGACACACACCUGCUUUAAUUACAGGGCCCUUGAGAGAUAACAAGAUAUAAGUAACAUGACCAGAUGAGAGUCAAUUGCUGAAACUGUUUCUUGAUAAAAUGUGUUUGGCUCCAGAGGCUAAAGCUCACUCACUCUUUCCUAUACAGCAUCAAGGUGUCAACAGGCACACAGCUACUGGGAAUAAUUGAAAUGCCUCUCUUCAUUGAGAAAUUGCUCAUACAGUAAACAAAGCCCACAUGACAUAGCAGUAGAUGUCAGAGUCAUUGCUGGCACACUUAGUCAUCAAAAGAAAACCUGGACAUAAGAAAGCUUCAGUGGAAUAUUCCAGUGCAGAUAUUAUAAUCCAACAUUUAUGUCUUCCCUCAGAGAACAUAACUUUAUGCACCAAACUACCAUCCUUGGGAUUUGAUUCUCAGUUUAUUUGCUGUCUUUGUUUUUAUUUUUUGUAUAUAAUCUUGAAAAGACUAACAAAAAAUCUGUUUUAUUUGUUUUCAACCUGCAGCCUUCUUUUAACAGGUAAGAGGUUGAAGAAAGUGACAUGUAAGGACUGGGAACUGUAAGCAGAGCAUUCAAGGCAUUCCCCAGCUCUUAAGCUGUAUCAUCUCAUCCCCAAAAUAAUAUUCCUGUCAUUUAGCAGAUGUUAUUGUCAGCAGCCUAUUUCUCUGGAAGAGUCAGGAUAGGACUCAGUUUAAGGUGAGAGAGGGUAAGUUCAUGCUCACAGAGUCUGCUGCAGUUCCAAGAGUAUCUUCAAAGCAGCUCCCUGUGUUAAGUAAUUCAGAGACACAAGUUGUUUCCAUCUUGGGUCUCUGCCACCACAAGUGGAAACCUCCUGGGUUGCCAUACUAGGUAAGAAGAACCUAGAUGGCCAUGCACGAACCCUUAAAACUGUUGUCUGGAAAUGAAAUACACCUGUUCACAGCCCAUUAUCCAGAAUUAGUAACAUGGUGCUGCUAGUUGGAAAAGACCCUGGGAUAUAUGAAAAGCACUCAGAUAUUCAGGAAGCAGUAAAUUUCUGGGCUAUACUUCUCAAUAAUAUGCUCUUCACACUCCCAACUAACUAAUAUUCCUCAAAUAUCAUUUGUAUUGUGUUACUUCCUCAGUAAAAAGCUUAGUAUUAUUCCCCAAGCACCUGGCAUUUUUAUGUUAUGUAAUACCUAGUCAUUUUUUUCCAAUAUGCUUAAAGCUUCAAGAGGUUAUGAUUUAAGACAAUACUUUUCAGAUGGGUAAUAUUGUGGUCAUGCUUAAGGUUCUGUAGGUUUGGCACUAGGACAGGGUGCUGGGGAAAAUAUCUUAAGAUCAUAAGUUCAGGGAGGGCAGGGCCCACAUCUGUCUUCUCCACAUUCAAUCUCUACCAAUCUCUACCACUACCACAUAUUACAAUAUCAGUAAAUAUUACUGGAAUUUAAUUGAACUUCAUAAUUUUUCCUGUGGCUAGUUCUAUCUCCUGAAGCAAGUCUAAAUUCCUCUCCACUGGCAAUGGCUUUCUUAGGCCUCCUGUUCCACUUCUCUCCAACCCUGCUUCCACAAACAUCAUACGCAUAACAAUGAACACAACAAUAAAACUCAGAUCUACAACUUACAAGACACUUUCACAAGUAUAUUUUUCAGCCAUAAACUCCUCUGUAUGACAUUCAAAGUAGGUAUAAAUAUUCCCAUUUUAUAGAUGGACAAGCAGAAUAUCAGAGGCAAUAUUUAAAACUUACCUCUUCUGAUUUUAGUCCAGAGUUCUUUUCAUCAUUCCCGUAUUCAUGACAAUCCAUGCCUACACAUUUUCCUUAUACUGUUUGCAUGCCACUUCACUCUGCUCUCUUCUGCCCUGCAUUGCAAUGUUUCCUACCUACUCUUCCUCCUCGACCUGGUUCACAUUCUUCCUUCUCCAGAAUUUGUUUUUAAACUACUUUACACCAAAUCAUUGUUCCUCCUCCUAAUUCUGUUUGGAUGUGCCACUUGUAGCUGGAUCAUAAUCCACUAUGCUUUGGGCCUUCUCUGUAAUCAGAUUGGAAAUCUUGUGGGGAGAAAUUUUAUUUUCUACCAAUUUGCUAUGUCCCUAAGCAUCUAACAAUGUGUUUGAUGCAUAGCUCUUGACCAUUUUCAUUAUACUUUGAAGAAAGAAGAAAAGAAAAUUUGAGUAAACCUGUGCUUACUGAUGAACCCUAACUCUAAAUAGCACCUGGACUGACUUUGUUUAUAGACAUUGAUGCCUUACAGCUAGUACAGAGUUUAAAGCCACCUUAAUUUUAGAUCCAUCUUUAAAAUGUUUUGUUUAUAAAUUCAAAGAUUCUUAUGAAAAAUUAAACACCCAUUUGUACUCUAAAAACAUUCCAUAAAGACACAAUAAAUGAGACAAGAAUUAUUAGCAAGUCUCUUAAUAACUAACUGAAAAUAACAGAAUAAAUAAACCACAAUACUUAACCACUGUCAAUUUAGUUCAGUACCCUCUUUCUAGCUAUAAAACUAAGGGUGGGGAGUAUUUUUAUAGGACGGUGUAGUGGUUCUCUACAGAAUCAACUUCAAAUUAGUGAAUAAAAUUAAAUCUAUUAUAAAGCUAUUUUUCUUUUACUUUAGGUACUGCAUUCCAUAUAUUAACUACCUAUUAUGUAAAAUAGCUCUUAUAUUUAUUUGUGUAAAGGCUGUCAAGUAUCCUGAAAGUUGCUGAAGAAAUUAAUCUCACCGGCAUUUUAGGAGCUCUGAACAUUUGCUGUCUCUGGGUUCAAGGGACCACCAGAAUUUCUAAGCAAGGAAGAACAUGCCAAAUGAAGGUACAAAGGCCCUUCACUCUACGCUCAUUGAACUCUGAGAGGGUCUAUGCAUCUGCCCCAGCAGAUUUUGCAGAAAUGUACAGUUUCAGGAGAGAAUGUUAACUAUUAAAAGAAAAACUGUCCAACAAGGAGUGAAAGAUUCCAUUCUCCGAGAUGUUUUCCUAUUUCCUCUUUAAAAAGAAAAAAACAACAACAAAUUUACCCUUAUGCCACAGCUGCAGGAAAAGUAAUGAAAUCAACUGUAUUUAAUAUGCAAAAGCUGCGGCUUACAUUACAACUGCUAUAAUAUCGCCAAUAAAGAACCUUCCAGAAAGUCAUAAUUAAUAUUUUCACUCCACAAAAAAAAAUUUGAAUAUCUACUAUGUCCCGUAACUAUUUCUUGUCUGUUGCAUAGAUUUAAAGAUCAGAUUAAUUUUAGACUGAUUAUUAGAGUGGUGGGAGCACAUGUUGGACUAUGUAGUGUGUUCCAUACUAACUUGAAUACAAUUUUUUUAAAUAGAGCAUUUCAAGGUACUGACAUUCCAUAAAACACACUUUGGAAAAUGCUGAUCCAUCCUGGAUUUCUAUCAUUCAUCUAAUCAUACAGACUCUACUUGACUAUCCCCAGGGACAGCUCAUAUCAUCAGAGGUAACUUACUUCAUGGCUAGAAAGUAAUCAUUGAUCAUUACUGUUGGAAAGCUGCUGUCAUGAGUAGUGUUGGUUUUAAUAAUAACAACAAUAAUAAAUUUGACCCAAAAUCUGCCACCUUGAAUCAUUUUCUCCUUUGUCCUUGCUCUGACCCCUAUAGACCUUUAAUGAAUUAAUAAAAAGAAACAUUUGAUAUUAUGGAAAUAGUACAUAAAUUAGACAAACAGAAACUCUGAAGACACCAGCUAUUGUACAUUCAAACUGAAGCUGGAAAAUCUGUGCAUCAUUUCUCUUUAUUUCUCUUUACUCUAUGACAUUUGAAACCUACUUAUUUCUUAAAGGAAUCAGAUAUGGCUAUUUAGCAGUGUUCUGUGCAAGUGUGCCAUGCUAAGGGGUCGAACACUGCUGAGAGUCUAGAACUUGUUUUUCAUAAGCUAAGGCUGAGUGGUCUUCUAUCUAGCCAUAAAGAUUGAUCUCUAAGAAACGAAGAGACAUCUUCAGAUUCUGUUUCCUGAAAAAAAAGUAUGGUUUCACAUUUGGUCUAAAAACAGACCCUUCCAACAAAUAUAUUAGCAUCAUUAAAAUGAAACACAAACUGCCAGCCUUCCUUGGAGACUCGAACUUAGCUAUAGACAUGGAGCUUGUACAAACAACCUGAAAUAUGCAACUUGCAGCUUCCAGUCAUUACUAGUCAAACAGAAUUUAAUAUAUACUUAAUGAAUAUCUCAAGAGAAAAAAAGGAGACACCCUCAUUUUGCAGCUGUCAUCAGCAUUUGCUCCUGAAUCAUCCCAGUUUUUCCCUCCUGUAAUAAUCAAAUAAUUCUCUAGCCUUUCAUGAUUUUGCUGUACAUAUCUUUUUGGCUAUCUAAUUAACACUGUGAUUUUUGUUCUACAUAUGUUGUGUAAUAGUAGAUUCUGUCCUAUCCUCACCAAACAUAUUAAGCAUAAUAAAUAUACUUAUGAGAAUUACUUUGUAUAGUCCUUAUGCAAUCAGCCAUGCUGGGCAUGAUGGCCCAAGACGAUGAAAGCCC
rnacentral:lncRNA from 10 species